GCCGGUUUAGCUCAGCUGGUAGAGCACCUGAUUUGUAAUCAGGGGGUCGCGGGUUCGAUCCCUGCAACCGGCACCA
rnacentral:tRNA from 1 species